UCGGAAUUACUGGGCGUAAAGCGCACGUAGGCGGUUUUCCAAGUUGGAGGUGAAAUCCCCGGGCUUAACCUGGGAACUGCCUCCAAGACUGGGAGACUCGAGUCCGAGAGAGGUGAGUGGAAUUUCCAGUGUAGAGGUGAAAUUCGUAGAUAUUGGAAAGAACACCAGUGGCGAAGGCGGCUCACUGGCUCGGUACUGACGCUGAGGAGCGACAGCGUGGGGAGCAAACAGGAUUAGAUACCCUGGUAGUCCACGCCGUAAACUAUGGGUGCUAGUUGUCAGGCAGCUUGCUGUUUGGUGACGCAGCUAACGCAUUAAGCACCCCGCCUGGGGAGUACGGUCGCAAGAUUAAAACUCAAAGGAAUUGACGG
rnacentral:rRNA from 1 species